rnacentral:rRNA from 1 species
UACGUAGGGGGCAAGCGUUGUCCGGAAUCAUUGGGCGUAAAGAGCGUGUAGGCGGCCCGAUAAGUCCGCUGUGAAAGUCAGGGGCUCAACCCUUGAAAGCCGGCCGAUACUGUCGGACUAGAGUCCGGAAGAGGCAAGUGGAAUUCCCGGUGUAGCGGUGAAAUGCGCAGAUAUCGGGAGGAACACCAAUGGCGAAGGCAGCUUGCUGGGACGGUACUGACGCUGAGGCGCGAAAGCGUGGGGAGCAAACAGGG